GACGAACGCUGGCGGCGUGCUUAACACAUGCAAGUCGAACGGAGGAUUUAUUUCGGUAAAUCCUUAGUGGCGAACGGGUGAGUAACGCGUGGGCAAUCUGCCCUUCAGAUGGGGACAACAUCCCGAAAGGGGUGCUAAUACCGAAUACGAUCACGAUGCCGCAUGGCGGUGUGAUAAAAGAUGGCCUCUAUUUAUAAGCUAUCGCUGAGGGAUGAGCCUGCGUCUGAUUAGCUAGGUGGUGGGGUAACGGCCUACCAAGGCGAUGAUCAGUAGCCGGUCUGAGAGGAUGAACGGCCACAUUGGGACUGAGACACGGCCCAAACUCCUACGGGAGGCAGCAGUGGGGAAUAUUCCGCAAUGGACGAAAGUCUGACGGAGCAACGCCGCGUGAGUGAUGAAGGUUUUCGGACUGUAAAGCUCUGUUGUUUAGGACGAAAGUGCCUGUUGCGAACAGUUACAGGUAUUGACGGUACUGAACGAGGAAGCCACGGCUAACUACGUGCCAGCCGCCGCCGUAA
rnacentral:rRNA from 1 species